rnacentral:rRNA from 1 species
AUUGAACGCUGGCGGCAGGCCUAACACAUGCAAGUCGAGCGAGCGGCGGAAGGGUGAGUAAUGUCUGGGAAACUGCCUGAUGGAGGGGGAUAACUACUGGAAACGGUAGCUAAUACCGCAUACCAUCAGAUGUGCCCAGAUGGGAUUAGCUAGUAGGUGGGGUAAUGGCUCACCAAGGCGACGAUCCCUAGCUGGUCUAAGAGGAUUACCAGCCACACUGGAACUGAGACACGGUCCAGACUCCUACGGGAGGCAGCAGUGGGGAAUAUUGGACAAUGGGCGCAAGCCUGAUGCAGCCAUGCCGCGUGUGUGAAGAAGGCCUUCGGAUUGUAAAGCACUUUCAGCGGGGAGGCGUUACCCGCAGAAGAAGCACCGGCUAACUCCGUGCCAGCAGCCGCGGUAAUUC